GACGAACGCUGGCGGCGUGCUUAACACAUGCAAGUCGAACGGAAAGGCCCUGCUUUUGUGGGGUGCUCGAGUGGCGAACGGGUGAGAAACACGUGAGUACCCUGCCCUUGACUUGGGGAUAACUUCAGGAAACUGGGUCUAAUACCGGAUAGGAGCUCCUGCUGCAUGGUGGGGGUUGGAAAGUUUCGGCGGUUGGGGAUGGACUCGCGGCUUAUCAGCUUGUUGGGGGGGUAGUGGCUUACCAGGGCUUUGACGGGUAGCCGGCCUGGGUGGGUGACCGGCCACAUUGGGACUGGGAUCCGGCCCAGCCCCCUACGGGAGGCAGCGGUGGGGAAUAUUGCACAAUGGGGCGAGGCCUGAUGCAGCAACGCCGCGGGCGGGAUGACGGCCUUCGGGUGGUAAACCGCUUUCGCCUGUGACGAAGCGUGAGUGACGGUAAUGGGUAAAGAAGCACCGGCUAACUACGUG
rnacentral:rRNA from 1 species